AAUGCUUGCUUCUGGUAGUGUCCAAACACCUCAAAGACGAUCGGCUGAGUGCUGAUGUAGUCCACGAACGAUUUGGUCACUUCAACGGCGACCUGCAAAGAAACGCGGGCCACAGUGUGAGUUCGUGAUGAGCCGGAGGGUUCUGUGGAGAAGGCCUCGUCGUGCCGGUGGAUGAAACUGCGCACAGGAUAAGACGACACGCUCAAGGUGCAUGGGCGAGGGAUCUCUUACUUGAACUGGCAGAAGAUGUCGGCGUACUCUGCAGAGAUGCUGGACGCUUGCAGCACGGUCACCCGGAAGGUGAA